UGAGAGGACGACCAGCCACACUGGGACUGAGACACGGCCCAGACUCCUACGGGAGGCAGCAGUGGGGAAUAUUGGGCAAUGGAGGAAACUCUGACCCAGCGACGCCGCGUGCGGGAUGAAGGCCUUCGGGUUGUAAACCGCUUUCAGUAGGGAAGAAGCGAAAGUGACGGUACCUACAGAAGAAGCACCGGCUAACUAUGUGCCAGCAGCCGCGGUAAUACAUAGGGUGCAAGCGUUGUCCGGAAUUAUUGGGCGUAAAGAGCUCGUAGGUGGUUCGAUACGUCGGAUGUGAAAAUCAGGGGCUCAACCCCUGACCUGCAUCCGAUACGGUCGAGCUAGAGUUUGGUAGGGGAGACUGGAAUUCCUGGUGUAGCGGUGGAAUGCGCAGAUAUCAGGAGGAACACCGAUGGCGAAGGCAGGUCUCUGGGCCAAUACUGACACUGAGGAGCGAAAGCGUGGGGAGCGAACAGGAUUAGAUACCCUGGUAGUCCACGCCGUAAACGGUGGGCACUAGUUGUGGGGACCUUCCACGGUCUCUGCGACGCAGCUAACGCAUUAAGUGCCCCGCCUGGGGAGUACGAUCGCAAGAUUAAAACUCAAAGGAAUUGACGGGGCCCCGCACAAGCAGCGGAGCAUGCGGCUUAAUUCGACGCAACGCGAAGAACCUUACCAAGGCUUGACAUAUACAGG
rnacentral:rRNA from 1 species